rnacentral:rRNA from 1 species
UACGUAGGUGGCGAGCGUUGUCCGGAUUUACUGGGCGUAAAGAGCGCGCAGGCGGUCGUUCAAGUCGCGUGUGAAAGCCCCCGGCUCAACUGGGGAGGGUCACGCGAUACUGAUCGACUCGAAGGCAGGAGAGGGAAGUGGAAUUCCCGGUGUAGUGGUGAAAUGCGUAGAUAUCGGGAGGAACACCAGUGGCGAAGGCGGCAUCCUGGACCAUAACUGACACUGAUAAGCGAAAGCCAGGGGAGCAAACGGG